UACGAGGGGUGCAAGCGUUAAUCGGAUUUACUGGGCGUAAAGCGCGCGUAGGCGGCUUGUUAAGUCGGAUGUGAAAGCCCUGGGCUCAACCUAGGAACUGCAUUCGAUACUGGCGAGCUAGAGUACGAUAGAGGGUGGUAGAAUUCCUAGUGUAGCGGUGAAAUGCGUAGAUAUUAGGAGGAAUACCAGUGGCGAAGGCGGCCACCUGGAUCGAUACUGACGCUGAAGUGCGAAAGCGUGGGGAGCAAAC
rnacentral:rRNA from 1 species